rnacentral:tRNA from 1 species
GCGCUAGUAGUCUAGUGGUAGGAUUCGAGCUUCCCAAGCUUGCGGCCCGAGUUCAAAUCUCGGCUGGCGCA